GACGAACGCUGGCGGCGUGGAUUAGGCAUGCAAGUCGAACGGUAUCAUCCUUUCGGGGGUGAGAGAGUGGCGAACUGGUGAGUAACACGUAGGUUAUCUACCCUCAAGACGGGGACAACCCAGGGAAACUUGGGCUAAUACCGGAUGUGAGCAACUUUUAGUUGUUUGAAAGGUGGCGUAAGCUGUCGCUUGGGGAUGAGCCUGCGUCCUAUUAGUUAGUUGGUGAGGUAACGGCUCACCUAGGCAAUGAUAGGUAGGCGGCCUUAACGGGUGGUCGCCCACACUGGGAUUGAGAUACGGCCCAGACUCCUACGGGAGGCAGCAGUCGAGAAUAGUCUACAAUGGUCGGAAGACUGAUAGUGCGACGCCGCGUGAACGAUGAAUCCCUUCGGGGUGUAAAAGUUCUUUUAUAUGUGAGCAGUGCUUCUUAUAUUAACAGUAUGGGGAGAGAGAUAUUAGCAUAUGAAUAAGCAACGGCUAACUCCGUGCCAGCAGCCGGGUAA
rnacentral:rRNA from 1 species